AGUGACUGAAGCUGGAAAUACCACCAAGUCCUCCGUAAUGCAAGAAACAACUGAAUGAAUGACGGAGCCAUUGGUUUUCUGAUGGAACAUGAGAUGGUGCAUGGUUUUCAUAAUGAUGAGUCAUUGGGCCACUGCGGAACUUGGAGAAGUUUGCAAAUGUCUUUUUGUGUCCAGUUGGCUCCUGCAUGAACCCGGAAAAGAAAUGUCAUAUAUGGAAACAACCAAUGUCAGCAUGAUGUCAUUGAAACUCAUUAAAUGAUCGCGAUGUCAAUAACGUGUAAAAUAAACAAAUUAAAAAAACAAAACAUUUACUCUUACGUC
rnacentral:sRNA from 1 species